GAGUGUUUCCCAUGUGGUAUUGGUGUGCUGGGUAUCCCUUCACUGGUAGCCUGGUAACAUAUGCUCCCAGGUCUUUCUGUGCCUCUGUGGUGGAUAGUGGAGUGUUUCCCAUGUGGUAUUGGUGUGCUGGAUAUCCCUUCACUGGUAGCCUGGUAACAUAUGCUCCCAGGUCUUUCUGUGCCUCUGUGGUGGAUAGUGGAGUGUUUCCCAUGUGGUAUUGGUGUGCUGGAUAUCCCUUCACUGGUAGCCUGGUAACAUAUGCUCCCAGGUCUUUCUGUGCCUCUGUGGUGGAUAGUGGAGUGUUUCCCAUGUGGUAUUGGUGUGCUGGAUAUCCCUUCACUGGUAGCCUGGUAACAUAUGCUCCCAGGUCUUUCUGUGCCUCUGUGGUGGAUAGUGGAGUGUUUCCCAUGUGGUAUUGGUGUGCUGGAUAUCCCUUCACUGGUAGCCUGGUAACAUAUGCUCCCAGGUCUUUCUCUGCCUCUGUGGUGGGUAGUGGAGUGUUUCCCAUGUGGUAUUGGUGUGCUGGAUAUCCCUUCACUGGUAGCCUGGUAACAUACACUCCCAGGUCUUUCUGUGCCUCGGGUAGUGGAGUGUUUCCCA